GAGGAAUAUUGGUCAAUGGACGAGAGUCUGAACCAGCCCAGUAGCGUGAAGGAUGACUGCCCUAUGGGUUGUUAACUUCUUUUAUAUGGGAAUAAAGUUUUCCACGUGUGGAAUUUUGUAUGUACCAUAUGAAUAAGGAUCGGCUAACUCC
rnacentral:rRNA from 1 species